GAUAGCUCAGUUGGUAGAACACCCGUUUUUUAAGCAGGAGGUUGGUGAUUCGAGUUCAUCUC
rnacentral:tRNA from 1 species